UUGAACGCUGGCGGCAGGCCUAACACAUGCAAGUCGAACGGUAACAGGAAGAAGCUUGCUUCUUUGCUGACGAGUGGCGGACGGGUGAGUAAUGUCUGGGAAACUGCCUGAUGGAGGGGGAUAACUACUGGAAACGGUAGCUAAUACCGCAUAACGUCGCAAGACCAAAGAGGGGGACCUUCGGGCCUCUUGCCAUCGGAUGUGCCCAGAUGGGAUUAGCUAGUAGGUGGGGUAACGGCUCACCUAGGCGACGAUCCCUAGCUGGUCUGAGAGGAUGACCAGCCACACUGGAACUGAGACACGGUCCAGACUCCUACGGGAGGCAGCAGUGGGGAAUAUUGCACAAUGGGCGCAAGCCUGAUGCAGCCAUGCCGCGUGUAUGAAGAAGGCCUUCGGGUUGUAAAGUACUUUCAGCGGGGAGGAAGGGAGUAAAGUUAAUACCUUUGCUCAUUGACGUUACCCGCAGAAGAAGCACCGGCUAACUCCGUGCCAGCAGCCGCGGUAAUACGGAGGGUGCAAGCGUUAAUCGGAAUUACUGGGCGUAAAGCGCACGCAGGCGGUUUGUUAAGUCAGAUGUGAAAUCCCCGGGCUCAACCUGGGAACUGCAUCUGAUACUGGCAAGCUUGAGUCUCGUAGAGGGGGGUAGAAUUCCAGGUGUAGCGGUGAAAUGCGUAGAGAUCUGGAGGAAUACCGGUGGCGAAGGCGACCCCCUGGACGAAGACUGACGCUCAGGUGCGAAAGCGUGGGGAGCAAACAGGAUUAGAUACCCUGGUAGUCCACGCCGUAAACGAUGUCGACUUGGAGGUUGUGCCCUUGAGGCGUGGCUUCCGGAGCUAACGCGUUAAGUCGACCGCCUGGGGAGUACGGCCGCAAGGUUAAAACUCAAAUGAAUUGACGGGGGCCCGCACAAGCGGUGGAGCAUGUGGUUUAAUUCGAUGCAACGCGAAGAACCUUACCUGGUCUUGACAUCCACGGAAGUUUUCAGAGAUGAGAAUGUGCCUUCGGGAACCGUGAGACAGGUGCUGCAUGGCUGUCGUCAGCUCGUGUUGUGAAAUGUUGGGUUAAGUCCCGCAACGAGCGCAACCCUUAUCCUUUGUUGCCAGCGGUCCGGCCGGGAACUCAAAGGAGACUGCCAGUGAUAAACUGGAGGAAGGUGAGGAUGACGUCAAGUCAUCAUGGCCCUUACGACCAGGGCUACACACGUGCUACAAUGGCGCAUACAAAGAGAAGCGACCUCGCGAGAGCAAGCGGACCUCAUAAAGUGCGUCGUAGUCCGGAUUGGAGUCUGCAACUCGACUCCAUGAAGUCGGAAUCGCUAGUAAUCGUGGAUCAGAAUGCCACGGUGAAUACGUUCCCGGGCCUUGUACACACCGCCCGUCACACCAUGGGAGUGGGUUGCAAAAGAAGUAGGUAGCUUAACCUUCGGGAGGGCGCUUACCACUUUGUGAUUCAUGACUGGGGUG
rnacentral:rRNA from 1 species